CCCACAUUAUUUACAAUAUUUUGUGCAAUUUACUUUACAUAAUCCCAAAGAAUUUAAGUGAAGUAAAUUUUAGAGGGAUAAUUUUGUCAACCUUUAAAACACAGCAAGCUUCCAAGCAGCUAUUUUUAUGCAUUCAUUAGAAGCAUGCUAGGAAACUCUUGAUAAGGAUUAUUAGCCUUCCUUGUGAAUUAAUCUCCAGGUGAAAACGCUCUCAAGUUACCUUUGUUUUUUAAAGAGCAGUUCAUAAUCUUAGCUUUGGAAGAGUGAUUUAAACUACUUGUUUGUUAGGCCUGACUUGUAAUUGAGCGGAGUGAGGCAGACCAGCACGCAUGUUGGGGAAGCGGGCGGCCUCGUGCUCGACCACGCCCUGGUAACCCUGCCUUCCCGGCUUUGUGCCUUUGCGCACGCGCAGUGACGCCAACUUGGCCACUAGGCGGCGCCGGGCCCUCUUCAAGUCGGCCCUUGUGGCGGUGCGUGUGGAUGUGACGUCACUGCGCGCGCCGCCUCUUGUUGCUGGGCAGCGAUGGCGGCUACCCUGGAGUCCUCCGCGGAGGACCCGCUGCGGAACUUUGUUCGAGUUUUGGAGAAGCGAGAUGGCACAGUGUUACGACUGCAGCAGUAUGGCUCUGGCGGCGUGGGCUGCGUUGUUUGGGAUGCUGCCAUUGUUCUUUCUAAGUACCUGGAAACGCCCGAGUUUUCCGGCGAUGGGGCCCACGCUCUGAGCCGGCGGUCGGUGCUGGAACUGGGCUCUGGCACAGGGGCCGUGGGGCUCAUGGCCGCUACCCUCGGGGCUGAUGUUGUAGUCACUGAUCUUGAGGAAUUGCAAGACUUGCUGAAGAUGAAUAUUAAUAUGAACGAGCACCUUGUCACUGGUUCUAUUCAAGCCAAGGUACUGAAAUGGGGGGAAGAAAUAGAAGACUUUGCUUCUCCACCAGACUACAUACUGAUGGCCGACUGCAUAUACUACGAAGAGUCUUUGGAGCCAUUGUUGAAAACUCUAAAAGAUCUUAGUGGAUUUGAGACUUGUAUUAUAUGUUGUUAUGAACAACGAACAAUGGGGAAAAAUCCAGAAAUUGAGAAAAAGUAUUUUGAGCUUCUCCAACUAGACUUUGACUUUGAAAAAAUUCCUUUGGAGAAACAUGAUGAAGAAUAUCGAAGUGAAGAUAUUCAUAUUUUACACAUCAGAAAGAAAAAACUGAAAUCUCCAUCGUGAAACCUUUAGUCAUCUUACCCAAGUCUCUAACAACCUGGUAUCUACAAUGUGAAUGGUGUCCCCUUUCAGUGGUGCUUUUUGCAGUACACAGCCUGAACAACCACACAUUGCAGCCCUGCCCCCUCCCGGAAGACAAGAACAGCGUCUUGCAUCCUGCAGGAUACCUGCACCUAUUGCUGGAGGAAUAUUCCAUGAUUCAAGUCAGUAAUUAAUCCAGCUCUCUUUUCUUGAGCACCUACGUGUGUUGGGAAGAAGAUUAUUUCUUACACCACGAUUUUGAUAAAUGUGGCAGAUUGGUCAUUAAUUUACAGCAAAUCUGGCUGUUUCGCCUGUUCGUACGUGUGAUUAGACGAUCCUCUGUACAGAGGGGCUGACGGUGUGGGGCCUGGGGGGGGGGGUCUGCAUGGAAAUUCUCAUUGCCCUCCCUGAGUGCCCAUCCCAAAUGUGACUCCCUGAAUUCUCACAACAGGCUCAGGAGAUAGAUGAGUAUCCCAUGGUACGUGCAAGAAUAUCAGAACUUAAAGCAGUUAAAUCACUCCCAUGGUCACAGAGCUAAUCAUUAGGUAGAACAUUCCCUAGUUCUGAUAGGUCUAGAUAGGGCAAGUCCCAGCUAUGUGACCUAAGACAAGUGGAUUAACUUCUCUGUACCUCAGUUUCUUCAUUUAUAAAAUGGGAACAACAUUACUAUUCACCAGAUGGGCUUGUUGAAUGGUUCAAAUGAAAUAAUAUAUGUGCUUGGCAUCAAGACUGGCACAUACAAAGUCCUCUAAUUUUAGCUAUUGCUGUCAAUUUAGGAAAUAUGAUAAGUAUAACAUAAGACAUUAUAUAGCAAUGUUUCCAAAGUGCGUUCAGUUUUUGAGAUGAGGAAAUUAAGGCCAAGAGAAGCUGAGUGAGGGACUCAGUUGGGGCUCUCCAGUCUUUUGUUCUAUUUAGGCCUUCACCUGAUUGGCAAAGGCCACCCAUAUUAAGGAAGGCAAUCUGCUUUACUCAGAGUCCACCAAUUUAAAUGUUCAUCUCCAAAAACACCCUCACAGGAGCAUCCAGAAUGAUGUUUGACCAAAUAUCUGGGCACUGUGGCCUAGCCAGGUUGACAAAUAAAAGACUAACCAUCACAAUGUCUUUGCCCAGCUCCAUCAAGAAUUUCCCGAGAGCUUACACGUGUCACUGAAUCUUACCUUAUGCCCCGGAUGCCCUGGGAAGGGGAGGAGGGGCUGUGGGAUAAGGCUGAGUCUUGAGCCUUGCUCUCCAUCUUUUCUCCUUCCAAAGAAAAAUGCUGGAAUGAAACCAUUUACUUCGUUGUAUCAGGGGUGGAGGUGGAGGAAGGAGAGAAACAGGAAAAGACUCUCCACCCUGUAAAGAGGAGGAUGGUUCCAGAGACAUUCCUUAAUGACUGAGGACUGGAAUUGAGAGAGGGCAUGGGAAACUGAGAAAGCAGUGACCAGAACGGCUGGUAAUCAACUGGCUGAUACAAUGCUGUAUCUUGACAAGACCACUGUCUCAGUUCAGUGGAGAUCUUCUGGUUCGUGGGAGUGGAAGGAGCUCUACCCAGUCCUCUGGAAAGAGGAUUUGUUCAUAUGAUGGCUUUCCAUUUGGCAGAGACUUGGAGUUCUUCAGUGGAUCCUCUGAUUUCAGCUGAUAGGCAAACGGAGGAGAAAUGAGACAGAGGGAGAGAGAGAAUGGAGAAUUGCACAAGUGGCUUUCGGGCCAGGCUCGAAAUGGACUCCCAUCACUUCUUAUGCCCACUUUCCAGUUGUCUGACACUCAGUCACGUGACUGCUCCUAACUGGAACAGAGGCUGGGAAAUGCAGCUUUCCUGUAUAUGCAGGAAGAAAACUGAGUUUGGUGAAUGCAGAGCACUGUUUCUGCCUCAAACAUACAUUACCCAGUUGCCAAUCAACGAAAUUUUUCCAGUUUUUAUACCCACCAGUAGAGUAUGAAAAUUCCUAUGUCCCAACAUGCUCAGUAAUGAAAAGGAAGACGCUUUUCGUGUUCUGUUUUCUGUAGAUCUACAUAAAGCAUUGUUGCUUCUCUGCACGACUAGACUCCGAAUAUCCGUUUCUCUCCUGUGAGAUAUCUUCCUGACCUCAGGACCAACCUCUCUGGAGAGCUUUCUGGAUAGCAGCCCUCAUCCCUAUCUCCUAGGCUGGCCUGAGUUUCUGGGCCUUUCUCUGCCUGUUCUUCUGUUUCCCUCUUCCCUUCCCUGCUGUUGAAUAAGAUGUAAUGUUCAGAAGUCUGCAACAUGGGCGACCUUUACAGGAACGCUGCCCCACACCCUGGCCCCACAUACCCCUGAAUGCGUGGCUCAUUUAGAGGCAUGGGGAAAAUAUUCAUGCUCUGCAGGGCGCCUGGGUGGCUCAGUCAGUUAAGCAUCUGACUUCGGCCCAGGUCAUG